GAGGGUAUAGCUCAAGUGGCAGAGUGCAUGCUUAGCAUGCAUGAGGUCUUGGGUUCAAUCCCCAGUAACUCCU
rnacentral:tRNA from 1 species